rnacentral:rRNA from 1 species
GUCGAGCGAACGGACGAGAAGCUUGCUUCUCUGAUGUUAGCGGCGGACGGGUGAGUAACACGUGGAUAACCUACCUAUAAGACUGGGAUAACUUCGGGAAACCGGAGCUAAUACCGGAUAAUAUUUUGAACCGCAUGGUUCAAAAGUGAAAGACGGUCUUGCUGUCACUUAUAGAUGGAUCCGCGCUGCAUUAGCUAGUUGGUAAGGUAACGGCUUACCAAGGCAACGAUGCAUAGCCGACCUGAGAGGGUGAUCGGCCACACUGGAACUGAGACACGGUCCAGACUCCUACGGGAGGCAGCAGUAGGGAAUCUUCCGCAAUGGGCGAAAGCCUGACGGAGCAACGCCGCGUGAGUGAUGAAGGUCUUCGGAUCGUAAAACUCUGUUAUUAGGGAAGAACAUAUGUGUAAGUAACUGUGCACAUCUUGACGGUACCUAAUCAGAAAGCCACGGCUAACUACGUGCCAGCAGCCGCGGUAAUACGUAGGUGGCAAGCGUUAUCCGGAAUUAUUGGGCGUAAAGCGCGCGUAGGCGGUUUUUUAAGUCUGAUGUGAAAGCCCACGGCUCAACCGUGGAGGGUCAUUGGAAACUGGAAAACUUGAGUGCAGAAGAGGAAAGUGGAAUUCCAUGUGUAGCGGUGAAAUGCGCAGAGAUAUGGAGGAACACCAGUGGCGAA